rnacentral:rRNA from 1 species
UACGUAGGGGGCAAGCGUUGUCCGGAUUCAUUGGGCGUAAAGAGCGUGUAGGCGGCCAGGUAGGUCGGUUGUGAAAACUGGAGGCUCAACCUUCAGAGGUCGACCGAAACCAUCUGGCUAGAGUCCGGGAGAGGAAAGCGGAAUUCCACGUGUAGCGGUGAAAUGCGUAGAGAUGUGGAGGAACACCAGUGGCGAAGGCGGCUUUCUGGUCUGUAACUGACGCUGAGGCGCGAAAGCGUGGGGAGCAAACAGG